AAUCUAAUCUUUGGAUGCUGA
rnacentral:snRNA from 1 species